GGACACGAUCAGCAGGGAAAGCACGUGUGUUUUUAUGAGAAUUAUGCUGAGAUAGGUAACAGAUGAGGAUGAAAUUUGGGCUUGACUGAAGUAAUGGGGGCUGUCUGUGAAGCCUUGCGGCAGUACAGCCCAGGCAGCACUGAGGAGUAAAGGAAUAUUUGGGAGGAUCAGAAGCUUGGUCCUGAUUUUGCCAUCAACCAGGACCUUGAUGACUUCAAGGGAGUCCCCAAACCCUGGGUUUCUGUUUUCUCAACUCUAACAUGAGGGGCUAGACGCAUCUGGUUUAGUUCGUCUCCAUGAUCCUGUGAAUUUCAGAUGUUGAAAAUCUUCAGAAAAGCCCUGAAAGAUGAAGAGUGGUCUCAAAUAGUCAAGACCCCCUGCUGGGGGGAGCGUCUAUCCUGCUCUGUGGAA
rnacentral:antisense_RNA from 1 species